CCUUGCAAACCUUGAAUGAUCUUAGCUUCCUCAAAAAAAUCUCCCGUCCACGCUGUUGUCCAAGCGAAACCUAUUUAUAGUCCUCAACCACCUCCACUUCUUUUCCAAUGAUGAAAAUAGGGUUAGAUGUAACCCUGUUUCUCCUGAAACCUACAGUCUUCUCAUUUCAAGAAGAUGCCAUAAAACAGUCAACUAGAUCUCUGUACUCAGCUUCUUGUCCAUCUCUGAUACACCCGACGACUGCAGAGUCAUCUGAAUAUUUCUGUAGAUGACAAAAGUCUGACUUGUGCUGUAAGUCUGAAGUGUAAAGAGUGAAAAGAAGUGGUGAGAGUACAGUUCCCUGUGGUGCUCCUGUGUUGCUCACCACCUGGUUACACACACAAUCCUUCAGUUUCACAAUCUGUAGUCUGUUUGUGAGGUAGUCAGAGAUCCAGGUGUUAAUUUCAGUUAUCCGGUGCUACUCCACACCCAGCCACUAGGGGGCGUCUGUCGCAUUGGUUGCAUAGAAAAGGCUUAUGGACACACGCAGAAGAAUAAACCUUCCUGUUAAAUGCUAACAGAAGCUCAACAUGUAUGCCUCAUGUUUUCUGUCACAGCAGUGCAUCAAUCCUGCCGGUGGAUGUCACCGAGGCGGAGGCGACUCUGCCCCCUGAUUGGCUGCCAUUCACAAGUUACAGAUAAAGGGGGAUGAGAAGAACCAGAGCGCCGACUGACGUCUAAUCUUCCCUCAAUGACAGAGGAAUGAAGGAGAAAGAGGCCAUAACUUGUAAAUCAGAAUUUCCAACUGUGGACACCAAGAGGUCAGCAGAGACGGAUGCCGCGCAUCUCAAUAAUUCAGCAAUUAAGUGUGGAUGCAAGCUGAUCGGAGUCUGCUCCAAAACCAGGAAGUGGACUACAAUACACGGCAUUCUGGGUAAGUACGACCAAAACAAACGCAAGCGUCUCAUGCUAGCGGCAGAAAUGUC